rnacentral:rRNA from 1 species
AGUGAACGCUGGCGGUAGGCCUAACACAUGCAAGUCGAACGGCAGCACAGUAAGAGCUUGCUCUUACGGGUGGCGAGUGGCGGACGGGUGAGGAAUACAUCGGAAUCUACUUUUUCGUGGGGGAUAACGUAGGGAAACUUACGCUAAUACCGCAUGCGACCUACGGGUGAAAGCAGGGGAUCUUCGGACCUUGCGCGAUUGAAUGAGCCGAUGUCGGAUUAGCUAGUUGGCGGGGUAAAGGCCCACCAAGGCGACGAUCCGUAGCUGGUCUGAGAGGAUGAUCAGCCACACUGGAUCUGAGACACGGUCCAGACUCCUACGGGAGGCAGCAGUGGGGAAUAUUGGACAAUGGGCGCAAGCCUGAUCCAGCCAUACCGCGUGGGUGAAGAAGGCCUUCGGGUUGUAAAGCCCUUUUGUUGGGAAAGAAAAGCAGCAGGUUAAUACCCCGCUGUUCUGACGGUACCCAAAGAAUAAGCACCGGCUAACUUCGUG